UACGUAGGGGGCUAGCGUUGUCCGGAUUUAUUGGGCGUAAAGAGCGUGUAGGCGGCCCGGUAAGUCCGCUGUAAAAGUCAAAGGCUCAACCUUUGAAUGUCAGUGGAUACUGCCGGGCUAGAGUCCGGAAGAGGCGAGUGGAACUCCUGGUGUAGCGGUGGAAUGCGCAGAUAUCAGGAAGAACACCGACGGCGAAGGCAGCUCGCUGGGACGGUACUGACGCUGAGACGCGAAAGCGUGGGGAGCGAACAGG
rnacentral:rRNA from 1 species